AAUAUUGCUUAAUUAGCAAGUGCUGUAUCGGCCGGGGUAUGGACAAGCACACGAUUCACAUCCUGGCACUAGCAGCCCUAUUCUCUCUGUAUCUCGUAUGCUCUGCUACUGUUGCUCACUGCCGAAUCAUAGAUGCCACGGAUAGCGAGAAGAUCAAUUUACCAAACGGGCUAUGCGCCAGGAAGCGAUGCAAGGGUGAUAAAGAAGAUUGCUUCUGUUGUUUGGCAGAAGCUGACAGCUGCUACUGGAGUAUGAAUGAUUGCAAGGCAGCGUGUCAAAAACCUCCUCUUUUACCUGCUCCUUAAUUUUCCAGCCUAGUCAAAUUGGCUUACAUAUUUACUUGUCCCAAGAAAUAAUAUUAUCUAAUAUAUGUGUGGAAAUGCA